UACGGAGGAUCCGAGCGUUAUCCGGAUUUAUUGGGUUUAAAGGGUGCGCAGGCGGAAUAUUAAGUCGGCGGUGAAAGUUUGCAGCUUAACUGUAAAAUUGCCGUUGAUACUGGUAUUCUUGAGUGUAUAUGAAGUAGGCGGAAUUUGUGGUGUAGCGGUGAAAUGCAUAGAUAUCACGAGGAACUCCGAUUGCGCAGGCAGCUUACUAAACCAUAACUGACGCUCAGGCACGAAGGCGUGGGGAUCAAACAGGAUUAGAUACCCGGGUAGU
rnacentral:rRNA from 1 species